ACAUUUGGUGCCCAGAGAGAAAAUAAGGAUGAAAUAAAGACAUUCAGUUAACUUAUGAUACACUUACAGAUUUUUCUGGCAUCAAUAAAGAAAGGAAUUGAUGAUAGCUUCUAACACUUAUAUCCAGCAGAAACUGAUGAAUGCUUAUUUAUUUACAGGUAAAAGUUGAUAGACAUCAUAGUCCUCUAUUCUGCUACUUUUAAAUCUCUGUUCUGUUUCUUUUACAUAUAUAUAGAUCUAAGGAGAUUUGCCAGCAGUUUUUCAUUUAUGCCCCCAAA
rnacentral:lncRNA from 1 species